rnacentral:rRNA from 1 species
AGUGAACGCUGGCGGUAGGCCUAACACAUGCAAGUCGAACGGCAGCACAGUAAGAGCUUGCUCUUACGGGUUGCGAGUGGCGGGCGGGUGAGGAAUACAUCGUAAUCUACUUUUUCGUGGGGGAUAACGUAGGUAGAGUUACGCUAAUACCGCAGACGACCUACGGGGGAAAGCAGGGGAUCGUCGGGCCGUGCGGGAAUGAAUGAGCCGAUGUUGUAUUAGCUAGUUGGGCGGGUAAAGGCCCACCAAUGCGACGAUCCGUAGCUGGUCUGAGAGGAUGAUCACCCACCCUGGAGCUGAAACACGGUCCAGACUCCUACGGGACGGACCAGUGUGGAAUAUUGGACAGUGGGCGCAAGCCUGGUCCAGCCAUCCCGCGUGUGUGACGACGGCCUUCGGGUUGUAAAGCCCUUUUGUUGGUUAAGAACCGCAUCAGGUUAAUACCACGCUUUUCUGACGGUACCCAAAGAAUAAGCACCGGCUAACUUCGUG